GUGUUUAUACAUCAACCUUAUUUGAAAAGCUUUAAACUACUCAACAAAGAUAGAAGUUUGUUACUGAGAAGAACUCAUGAGCAAUCGAGCUUGGUUCUGAUAACUAUGAAGGUUGGAUCUUCUUUUUUUUAAUAUCCUUUUGUAGACUUAUUAGAAUUAUUGUUCUCUUUUUCCUCUUAUGGUCAUUGAGGUAGUUGAGAAAAUAAAGUACAAUGUUUUUUGCAUACAAUGUUUUUUGCAUGUAACAGGUUCUAGUCGACAUCCUGACUACAAAUCUUGCAUUCAUCUUCUCUUUUGCCAUUGCUGCUAAGGGUUUGCUAAAUGAAGUUUCCAGGUGAUUUCUUCAUUCAUUCUUCUUCAUAUUAUGAGUUGUUCACCAAACAUUGAUAUUUUUUUCUUUUGGUGUAUGAGAUGCUAUCUAAAACAUUCUAUGGAGAUUGAUUUCUGUAUGGUUUUGUUGAAAAUUGGCAGAAAAAGAGAAAUUUUUUUGGGGAUAUUAAUAUCAAGUUACUUCAAGAUCUUUCUGCUUGCGAUGCUGGUAUGUUGUAGCUUUACCUCCUCUCAUAUCGGAGUGCCAAACCUCUAAUGCUUUUCAUAAUCAUGUCUCUUUGCUUAAAACGUCAGAAACUUGUUUAUUACAGGUAUGGAGUUCCCAGUGUCAGUGAUCUUCAUUAUGGAUAUACUUGUCUUAACAUCCAACUCCAUGGCUCUUAAAGUGAUGACUGAAUCAUCCACGAGCAGAUGCAUAGCUGUAUGCUUAAUCGCACACACAGUUAGAUUCUUGGUGGGUCAGAUCAUUGAGCCAACAACAUUCUUCACACAGUUUGGAUCUUUUGUCCAUCUAUCUUCCUUGUUCAGAAUUUUAAGAUUCCAACUUCAACUUCCACUUUAAUCUUUUGUUUUUGAAGAAAAUAUCAAACUCUUGUACAUGUUUCUUCCAGCUCAAUAAAUGUAUGUGUUAUACAAUUGCAAUGGCUAAUUCAUUUUAUCUCUAUUGCUAACAUCAAUGGUAAAGUAAUACUUAUGUUUUGGUAGAAAUGAUGCUUUUAAUUGUUGGUUCUCUGCUUUUCUUGUCAGUUUUGUCAAAUCAUUGAGCCAGCAACAAUUUUAACACAAUUUAGAUCUUUUUUUAAUGCAAAAUCGUUUUAUCUAUUUUACAAGUCUACACAAAAUGAUACAUAGCUUUUUUUUUCUUUUUUCUCUACAUAUAUAUUUUUUUUUACCUCUCUUUUCUUUUUUUCUCCCUAACAUAUAUAUAUAUAUAUAUAUUUUACCUCUCUUUUUUUUCUCUCUUAUUGCACAACUGCAGACUUUUCCGAGCUAGAAAACAGAUGAAGAAACCCAAAACAAGAAAGAAAACAAGAAAGAAAGUAGGAAACUUGUGAGCAAGAGCCGGAUUUAAUCACCUAACCAACCAGAAUGAUCCAACCAAUGAUGAAGAUGAUGAACAAUAA